GGGGACAUGGCCGAGUGGUAAGGCAGGGGACUGCAAAUCCCUUUUCCUUGGUCAACAAUAAUUAUAGUUUUGCCA